rnacentral:lncRNA from 1 species
UUGCUAAGACUUUCUAAGACUUUUCUCUCAAUCAAAAUGCUUCUCAAAAGUUAUAACCUCAGCUGAGAUUUGAGGGGUAUUUAUAGGCCUCAAGAGGAUUCAAAUUUUGGGCUCCAAAAUUUGAAUUCUCUUAGGGUUCCCGGUGCUGGAGGUGCCACCGCCCAACCAGGCGGUGCCACCGCCCAGCGCUCGGGUGCUGGACGGUGCAACCGCCCAGCCAAGGAGGUGUCACCG